CGUAUUUAAAAACUUUAAAACUCAAUAAUAAGGAGACAAGUAAACCUAAAGUUUAAAGGGCCAAGGGAUUUAAACAGACGUUGCUCCAAGGAAGACCUGUGAGUGGCCGCUACCGUCCCUGGGCAGAAGCUCGGCGCUGUGCAGGAGCCUCCUAAUGAAACACUGUCCGGGAGCCUCCAGACCCUGUCCCUUGGGUUUCCACAGCGACUUUACCAUGUAGGCAUGACUGAAGUCAGGACAGCGUGUCAAAUGUAGUGGGACAGAGGGGUCUGCCCUCCUGUGGGGAAGCGAGCUCCGUCUAUACUCUCUGGGCCUCUUUGUGCAGUACAUCUUUCCUCCGGGUGUCGACAGGACCCCUAUGAGACGGGGUCUUCUGAUCUGCUCGGACAAGCGCAGCCCCAGAUGUGGACUCUGAGCCUCUGGUCCCUUCUUCACAGAAUCAGCGCCCCUUUUCUGGUCCCCAUCCCACGUGUGUCUGCUGGAAGGUCUUUGCGAUGGCCUGCCACGAGCCACAGGAGAGGAGAAAAUGUUAUGGCGAGGUCGCAAUAAACCACAGAGUCGAUCUGAAAGCAGGAGAUGGAACCAUCUUUAUUCACCAACCAGCUGGCGGGCCAAGGGGCGGGCUGCAAGUCUACACCCUUUGACCUCCUCCAAGGGUCGGAGUACAGCAUUUAUAGUUCAAAACCACAUCAAUCCUUCAAGUUCGCUGGGGACCUGGAGCUCAGCAAAUGUUGCACUGACACUUGAUAGACAUUGAAGAAAUCCCAGGUACAAUGGAAAGUGCCCCUGGGUUAUGAGUAAGCAGUGGUCUGAAGUCUUAUUUGUAUUGCAGUUGAUGUUUCCCCACAGAAACACACCACAGAUGGCCAGGGCUUUCUGAGCCAGCCCACCAAAACCUCACCUACCCCACAGAGCAGUCAGCCUUUUAUCAAUGGGUGCUUUAAGACUGGGGGCACUCUGGGGCCAUAAAUUCAGUGUACCUUUUGGUCCAGAGCACCCCUCAAGUCCAGGCUUUGAGUUCCCAGGUCUUUUUAACCUCUGUUCUGAAGCAUCUCUCUUGGUCUUAAAGCUUUCUAUGCUCUGAGCAAAACAGGAAGAAAUGUGUUGAGAGAAGGAAACUUGGGAAGAUCUGCCUGCAACCAGAGAAAACUGAGGGGGCGCUAAGGAGAAGGAGGUGGGGGUGGGCAAAGUGGACGCAGGCUCCAGGAGACAGAUUGCCCAGGGCAGGCUAGCUCCACGGCCAGGCAGCUGGGUGAGCUACAGAUCAGAGAUGCUCAAAGACCCUACGUUUAAAAACCGCCUUCGCAUCAAACCCCUCCACCUCCCACCAAGAGCUCUCUGUUCUUAUACCCAGUCACCAAAGCAAAGACGAACUACUACAAAUGCACACCCUAAUUUCAGUGCGGAAGGUUAUAAACCAUACCUCUGCUCCAUCCCAGGUAGGAAAGUGCCAAAAGCACAAAGCAGCUCCCAGGGAGAGUAGAAGAUGCUUGCCACACUGGCCUGGAGGGACUGGAAACUUCAAUUUGCUUGGUAACACAUCUGAUAGGAUUUUCUUGCAGCCAGAGAGCCGUUUCAAGAGCGAUUGCAGAAGUGCAGGAGUUGAGAGCACAGCAAAGGGAUCCGACUCCCGUGGCUGGAACCUCUCUGCAGGGAGUGCUAGUUGUCUUCAGGGAUCUGCCAACCCCUCUAUUCCCCUCCCUGCUCCACCCACCCGCGCCUGGCAAGUUUAGAUACAUUCUGAAUUCCUUGCCAACACGGGAGCCAGGAAGAGUGUGUGUGUGACAUAAAUGUGAUCUAAGAGGAGAAAGCACUCGGGAGACCUUGAUCCACGCCCUCCCCCCCCCAUACUCCAUGAGCUCUUCUGAGGGUCAGCCGGUCGGACCACAUUUUUAAAUGCAGGAAUCCUAAGUGCUUCAUUAUAAGGGAAGGGUCCCAGUCUCUGGCAUGUAGCUGGGUUCUGGCCUCGGGUUUCCUGACCCCUACACUCUUCUGACUGUGGGUUUUCCUGGCUGCCAGGGCUCAGGCUGGUGGGAGCUUGGAGUUCAAGCCUGGCUCUCCUGAGGGGGCUGCAGUUCCUCAUGGUUUAUCCCCCAGUUGAUGGACAUCCUGUCUCCUGGCUAACCCCACUUUGGCUCUGGAAAGGCUGUCCCUACGCGACUCUCAGCAAGUGCCCCAGGAAGCAGCCCUCUGGAAUCUGGUCUGCAUGUGGACUUUCAGAACCUCUCUGUCUCCGGGAAUGCAGUCACCACUCCAUUUCUCGUUGAUUCUUUCUCCCGAAUGUCUGGGGGAAACUGCACCUCUGAACGUGGACCUUUUUAAAAAAGACUAAGUAAUACUAAGUUCUCUAAGUAUUUCAUUUGUGUUUUCUUGUUUCUAAUGAGAUUUCAGGCUCCUAAUUAGAUUGUAAGUCUCUAGAUUGUAAUCUCUGAUUAGAUUAAUUAGACUGUCUCUCGAAUUAUAUUUAGCACCAGAAAUGUGACUUUGGGCUUGUUUUCACCACAAUGCUUAAAAUGCUAUGUAGAAAACAGCUUGCAGCCAGAUUUCCAGCAAGAAGCAAGAGGACGGUGGCAACCCCACUCUUCAGGUUGGAGAGAAGUCAUCGAGGAGGAGGAGGAAGAAAGGGGCCCAUGGGAACAACUCCUCCAGGCCACACCUGGCCCCUACAGUGUUCUUCCCAACAUUCUGACCGAGGGACCCGCUUGCCUUGGUAUACACCGCUGUGCAGUACUGUUUUAUAAAUAUACGACAUUUUCUUUUCCUUUUUC